rnacentral:rRNA from 1 species
ACGCUCGACACCUACGGGGCAGCAGUAGGGAAUCUUCCACAAUGGGCGCAAGCCUGAUGGAGCAACACCGCGUGAGUGAAGAAGGGUUUCGGCUCGUAAAGCUCUGUUGUUGGAGAAGAACGUGCGUGAGAGUAACUGUUCACGCAGUGACGGUAUCCAACCAGAAAGUCACGGCUAACUACGUGCCAGCAGCCGCGGUAAUCUGAGGCGGGCGUGGACGAAGGC